GUCCACUUAGAUCAGUCGUAGAUCGUUUGUUUCCGGUACUGACCGUACAGCAAAAGGUCGAGGGUUCAAUCCCCUCAGUGGAUA